CAGUAGCCGCGGUAAUACGGAGGGUGCAAGCGUUAAUCGGAAUUACUGGGCGUAAAGCGCACGCAGGCGGUCUGUCAAGUCAGAUGUGAAAUCCCCGGGCUUAACCUGGGAACUGCAUUUGAAACUGGCAGACUGGAGUCUUGUAGAGGGGGGUAGAAUUCCAGGUGUAGCGGUGAAAUGCGUAGAGAUCUGGAGGAAUACCGGUGGCGAAGGCGGCCCCCUGGACAAAGACUGACGCUCAGGUGCGAAAGCGUGGGGAGCAAACAGGAUUAGAUACCCGUGUAGUCCCUGUCUCUUAUAC
rnacentral:rRNA from 1 species